GACGAACGCUGGCGGCGUGCUUAACACAUGCAAGUCGAACGGUGAAGCGAGUGCUUGCACUCGUGGAUCAGUGGCGAACGGGUGAGUAACACGUGAGUAACCUGCCCAUCACUCUGGGAUAAGCACUGGAAACGGUGUCUAAUACUGGAUACGACCAACCCUUGCAUGGGGUGUUGGUGGAAAGAUUUAUCGGUGGUGGAUGGACUCGCGGCCUAUCAGCUUGUUGGCGGGGUAAUGGCCCACCAAGGCGACGACGGGUAGCCGGCCUGAGAGGGUGACCGGCCACACUGGGACUGAGACACGGCCCAGACUCCUACGGUAGGCAGCAGUGGGGAAUAUUGCACAAUGGGCGAAAGCCUGAUGCAGCGACGCCGCGUGAGGGAUGACGGCCUUCGGGUUGUAAACCUCUUUCAGCAGGGAAGAAGCGAAAGUGACGGUACCUGCAGAAGAAGCACCGGCUAACUACGUG
rnacentral:rRNA from 1 species